AACGAACGCUGGCGGCAGGCCUAACACAUGCAAGUCGAGCGCGCCCUUCGGGGUGAGCGGCGGACGGGUGAGUAACGCGUGGGAACGUGCCCUUUUCUACGGAAUAGCCUCGGGAAACUGAGAGUAAUACCGUAUACGCCCUUUGGGGGAAAGAUUUAUCGGAAAAGGAUCGGCCCGCGUUGGAUUAGGUAGUUGGUGGGGUAAUGGCCUACCAAGCCGACGACCCAUAGCUGGUUUGAGAGGAUGAUCAGCCACACUGGGACUGAGACACGGCCCAGACUCCUACGGGAGGCAGCAGUGGGGAAUCUUAGACAAUGGGGGCAACCCUGAUCUAGCCAUGCCGCGUGAGUGAUGAAGGCCUUAGGGUUGUAAAGCUCUUUCAGCUGGGAAGAUAAUGACGGUACCAGCAGAAGAAGCCCCGGCUAACUCCGUG
rnacentral:rRNA from 1 species